AACGAACGCUGGCGGCAGGCCUAACACAUGCAAGUCGAGCGAGACCUUCGGGUCUAGCGGCGGACGGGUGAGUAACGCGUGGGAACGUGCCCUUUGGUACGGAAUAGCCCCGGGAAACUGGGAGUAAUACCGUAUAAGCUCUUCGGAGGAAAGAUUUAUCGCCAAAGGAUCGGCCCGCGUUGGAUUAGGUAGUUGGUGGGGUAAUGGCCUACCAAGCCGACGAUCCAUAGCUGGUUUGAGAGGAUGAUCAGCCACACUGGGACUGAGACACGGCCCCAGACUCCUACGGGAGGCAGCAGUGGGGAAUCUUAGACAAUGGGCGCAAGCCUGAUCUAGCCAUGCCGCGUGAGCGAUGAAGGCCUUAGGGUUGUAAAGCUCUUUCAGUUGGGGGAAGAUAAUGACUGUACCCACAGAAGAAGCCCCCGGCUAACCUCCGUG
rnacentral:rRNA from 1 species